rnacentral:misc_RNA from 1 species
GUUAUGAAAGGGUAGUGUUGGCGCUUUAGUGAGAGUGUGUGUACCCCGCAAAUUUCUUAGACUUUUCUUAAAUAAAUAACCUCUUAAUCAGAAGAAAAGAAUUAGAAUUAUUUGACGGGUAACGACUUUAGAUUUCGCUGGCCGACGAACAUCUAAGGUUCUAUGUAAUAUAUUCCAAAGUCGAUGGUGAAAUAAUUAGGAUUCAGAACUAUUCGUCAUCUACUGUCAAAACGUCAAGAAGAACCAGGGAUAUCUACACAUUAAGAGCUAUGAAAGCGUGAUCACUAGCGUAACACUCUUCUUUCUACCAUGUACCUCCGCCCACCGUUGGUCGUCUUGCUGCUAGCAACGGCGACAUUCUUAUUACCCUCUACAAUCGCUGACAACGAAGAAGACUUUGCUUUCGAUGUCACUGAAGACUUAGAGAUUGAGUUUGAGGGAGAUAAGCUAGUUAAAUGGAACGAGAAGGAUUUGGUAGCCUAUGUUGGAAGGACUUUCCAUUUGGUCGUACCGAAAGAGAGCUUCAAAGGCGUGGUCAAAAGUUUUGAGGUGAAACGACACACAGGAAAAGGUUUACCAUCGUGGCUUCUAUUCGAUAAAAAAGGAGGUGUAUUCUGGGGCGUACCUCUGAACCAAGAUGUCGGAGUCCUCCAUCUUACAAUAAAGGCUAUUGGAGAUAAAGCUAACUCCGAAGAGAUAACAAUCAAAGUUGUAGAAACAACUGAAGAAGCCGCAGGAGUAGAAAAAUGUAAACCGAACGAGGAGAAUACGGUUUUAACGUUACUGCUAGACAAAAAUAUCAGAGCUAUCAAGCCAAAGCAAAGAGUGAUCGCUAUUAACAAUAUUGCCCAGUUUUUCGGAUUGCCGCAUAGUGCCUUUACAUUCAAACCUCAACUAGAAAAAGACGACAUUACAGAUAGUUCCGUAGUACUAGCCGGUCCUGGGAAUUUACGAUCAAGAACUUCCAAGGUAACAUCUCUUUUGCAAGUAGCUGUAGGCUGUGAUGGAAGACUGUGGCUCUCUACAGCGUCAAUAGUUCACCAAUUGAAGCAGCAAGCGAGAGACGGUACCAUUGCCGAAGUAUUACGCUUACCUCUGAUCGGCUGGAGAGUUAAGACUGAAACAAAACCUGUUGUUAGAACUAAAAGAGGAGCUGACGUUAUUGACGGUGAUUAUGGUAGUGGAGAUUAUAAUGAUGAAGACGAAUAUUACGACGACUAUGAAGAUUCUUAUGAUGGUGAAGGUCUCGGAGAUGUGGAAAAGAUGCCCCCGUCUGCUGCUGCUCCAGUUACUCUGCCAACUCCCAAAAAGACUACAACUACUACUACGACAGCAGCUAGUUCUACUGUUUCGACUGAUAUUACUACACAUCUUCACAGACAUCACCAUGGAGAACUCAACCCUAGUAUACCUAAUUUGCACCACCAGACAACCCACAAAAACUUCUAUGUAGAAGAGCCAGUUCCAGUGACAAUCCAACCGUAUGAAACCCAGUCCUCUUCGCCAACUUCUACAUCAACUGCUGGCAAAUCUGAAUUGCCUACUUUCGGCAGAACUAAGCCUAAACCGGAUGAUAUUCUUACUUAUGAAGAUAACUACGACUACGGGGAAUAUGAUGACGAAGACGAAGAUUUGGACGAUCCCAUUGAGAGUGAAACUGUUAUCCCAGAUAUAAAUAAAAAGAAGCAAACGUUUGUUCCUACUUUCGAAGAUACCGAAAGCAUUACGACUGAGGAGAGUAGGUCGAAAACUACAUCUAAAAUAGAAGCAGAGACUGAACCAUUAAGUACAUCUAGCACCACCUCAAGUACUACUACAAGUACUUCAACCACUUCAACUACCAGUACUACAACUAGCACUACAACAAGUACGACAACUACCACGACAACCCCAGCUGCUCCCACCACUAUUCCUAUUGUCUACACUACAACUGCUAGUACUACAGAUCUUCCAACAACUUUCCAGAUUGUCGUAGAAGGAGAUAUCGAGACUGACUUUACAACAGAAACUGAGAAACCUACGCCCAUAACACCAGAAAUAGCUGAGCCAACUCAGUCAUCAGAAGAGCCUACUGUAGCGAGCACAACGCAGUCUACAACAGUAGUUAUUCCUACAAAUAGCAGCUCUGAAUCGACAAUAACGUACACAACAUCGACAACACCGUUGACAUCCGUUGAGAUUCUUACGACUGAAAGCAGUUCGACUUCCAAAGAACCCUCAUCUACCCAAAAACUUACAACUCUAAGAGAAGUAGUAACGGAAGUUGAGUAUCACGAAAACUUUGAUCCUUUCAUCGAAAAUCGACUUCAACAAAUGUAUGUGAUAGCAGGAAAGAUUUUCCGAUUUGUGAUACCACAAAAUACUUUCAAAGAUUUUGAAGAUGAGUACGACCUAACGUAUCAAUUGUUGGAUUCUAAUAAUAGAACGGUGACAAACAAUAGUUGGCUACAUUUUAAUCCUUCCCGGAGGGAGGUCUAUGGAUUGCCUUUAGAAGAAGACGUGUCUAAAUGGGUGUUCUGGGUGAAAGCUUCAGACAAGGAUGGUGGAUACGUUCAAGAAAAGCUCAAUAUUCAAGUUCAACAACACAAACUAGACCUUGUCGUCAACCAUGAAUUUAGUUUAAUCAUUGGAAUUGAAAGACAUCAAGAAUUUCAGCACUACGUUGACUGGUCGCUAAAAGUACUUAGAGCAUUAGGGAAAAUAUACAACACAAAUAUGGCGGAAAUAACUGUAAGAAGAAUUAAUUAUACCACCCAGCCAGUGGUAUUUACUUGGUCAAAUGAUUCAAUAGCUACCAACUACUGUCCAAGAAGUGAGAUUGAAUCUCUAUUUCAAGUUUUAACUGCAAACAAAAUAGGUGAUCCCUCUAGGGAACUCAAUAUGGCUUUGUCGCCGGAACUGCGAGUCAAAAAAGUAAUUUCUCGGGAACUAGGUGUUUGUGAACAACCGCUCACGCCAGUCACUCCUCCAAUGAAUUUCUCACCGAUUUUACGAAAUCCAGUCGACAAAGUAAACGCCACCGUUGGAGAAUUACUGGUAUACAAAGUGAAAGAUGAUACUUUCUACGAUCCAGAAGACGUUGACCCAAGAAUGUUAAACAUAUCACUCCUCACCGGUGAUCGUCAACCGAUUCCACCAGAUAAUUGGUUACAGUUCGACAAUAAAAACAGGGAAUUCUUUGGUAUUCCGAGAAAAUCAGGAAGAAGCGAAUAUCAACUUGUUUGUGUUGACAGUGGUGGACUACCUGCGACUGAUAGCUUAGAAGUUGUGGUAUAUCCACCUGUGAAGAAAAACUUCAAUGUUGAAUUCAGUAUGAAUAUCACAGAAAUACCGCAUGAGAUUUUUAUUAAUACUGCGUCUUUACAGAAGAAAUUUGUUGAGAAACUCAUGAUUUUGUUCGAGGAGUCAACAACAAAGAACUUUUAUUUCCUUCCAUUCAAAAGAUCAUACGAUUCCACAAUUGUGACUUGGUUCAACAAAUCACUACCCCUAAACCGAUGUCCGCACGAAGAAAUCAAACGAGUAGAAUCUAUUGUACACCAAAUGAUCGAUAAACACAACAUGAUUGCUCAUAGGGUACAUUCUGUUAUGGAACCAGAAUUCAAAGUAUCUACCAUUAAAGUUUACCCAACGGGUAAUUGUAAGCAAAGAGUUGUUCAAGAGGCCAAACCAGAAGUUAGUGUACCGAUUGAGGAAAGUACACCCCAGUCCAGCAGCGAUGAUUAUCUUGUUACUUUUAUUGUACCAGCAGUCAUUGUUUUCGUAAUGCUGUUCUUGGCCACUUUGGCUGCUAUUGUGUUAUACAGAAGACGAAGAAUGGGAAAAAUGAACGUUGAAGAAGAUGGAAGACAGAGUUAUGGAAACAAAGGUAUUCCCGUAAUCUUUCAAGAAGAACUAGAAGAAAAACCUGAACCCGGUACAAAAGCUCCAGUGAUUCUCAAGGACGAAAAGCCGCCAUUAGCGCCUCCAGAAUACAGUAAAAGCGGCUCAGUCAAAUUAGCGGACGAUUCGGAACCCUACCAGCCGCCCCCACCGUUUACCCGUACUCAGGACAACGGCAGACAAUCCAGACCAAAACCCACCCCUACUUAUAGAAAACCACCCCCUUAUGUGCCUCCUUAACAAUUACACUUUACAUUUUUUCAGCAAUAAGCUUUGUCUGACUGCCAAUUCGCGCGAUUGGUUCAUAAUUAUUCGAAUAAACCUUUUAUGACUCUGCAACUAAUAAUACUUUAGAUGACUGGCCGCAUUUUAGAAUGUAAGAUAAGUCAAUAGUUCAAUGUAAAUAUUUACACAAAAGCGUUAGAAUUUGUACAAUUAUUAUAAGCUGGCCACAGAGUACGCACAAUUCUCGAUUCAUAAUGCGCGAUGCCUGAUUUAUAUCCAUUGUUCGUCGGUUCAUGUUGAUGUGUGAUGUGCAGCCUUUGAUGUUCGUUAAUUUACCGCUCACAAGAGAGAAUUACUAUGCAUACAUGAAUCAUGUUGUUUACUAAUCGAUUUUUAACUAACAAUAUAAAAUUAUUAUUUAUGACCACACUGUCGAAACUUUUUGUAUGUAUUUGUUAUUUGGGUAGAGUCGGACAAAUUUGGAGCUUGGCGCAUUAUGGUAAUGGGGCGUUUGUCUGUCAAGCUGUCACGAAGUUGUAAAUUUUAUGCAAAAAAAAUUAUAACCACAUUGGUCAUUUUAUUUUAAUCAAUGGUUUUUGUCAUAUAAAUAGCGAAAACAAUUUUGUCGGACAAAAAUAUUGGGCCAUAUGACGCGUCGGACACGAUAAAUAUGUCAAAUUUAUGAAAAUAAUAAAUUUAUUACCACAUGGCUAAUUUUAACAGAAUCUACCAUAAAACAUUUUUACAAUAAUGUGUAACCUUGUCGGACAAUUUUUACGGGGCUAUGUGCAGUCGGCUGCGCCGACGAUGUCAAUUUCCUGGUAUUUUUUUAUUUACAACCAUUUUUUCGACAAAAAUAGGAGGUUAUAAGUAAUUAUAUUCUAAAUAAAAAAAUCUAAGUGUCCGACAAAAAUAUUGGGGCAAAUCGACAGUCAGACGAAAAAUUUAAUUUUUAUUAGUAAACUAUAUUUUACUUUUAAACUAUGCUGGGUUCGUGCAUCCCUUAUCUUCACAAUCAUUUUUCCGACAAAAGUAUUAGGUUACAAGUAAUUAUAUUCUUAAACAAAAAAUGUAAUUGUCUGACAAAAAUGCUGGGGUAAACGAACAGAAAACGUAAUUCUUUUAGGUUAUCGAUGCCCUUAAUAGGAGGCAUUGUCAAAAAAAUUUUUAAAACAGUUUUUCUCGGUUACUUUUGAAUCGAUUUAGAUUAAAAUUGGUAUACACACUAAGUACAACAUUUAAAAGGGCGUGACGUAGAGUUAUACCCAAAAUUUUCCGAUAAGAGGAAAAAUUUUGGAAAUAUCUGAAUUUUAUCUGAAAAUUUGUGUACAUACAUCUUGAACAAUGACAAACAUCUUUCUGUUGUUUCUUUUCUCGAAUUUUGAAAAAAAAAUUCCGAAACAAGGGAAAAUUUCGGAAAAUUUUUUGAAAAUUUUGGACCUAUUAUUUUUGUCCGACAAGUGAUCUAAUAUGCAUUACACAUGUAAAAAAACAGUACAAAAUAAAAAUGACAUCUGUGGUACUAAAUAAAAAAAUUCCAGGAAAUUGACAUCUUCGGCUCAUCCGACUGCACAUAAGCCCCGUGAAAAUUGUCCGAUAAGGUUACCACAUUAUUAUAAAAAGGUUUUUUGGUAUAUUCUGUUAAAUUUAGCCAUGCGGUAAUAAAUUUAUUAUUUUCCUAAAUUUGACGUGUCCGACACGUCAUAUGGCCCAAUAUUUUUGUCCGACAGAAUUGUUUUCACUGUUUAUAUGGUAAAAACCAUUGAUUAAAAUAAAAUGACCAAUGUGGUUAUACAUUUUUUUCUUGCAUAAAAUUGACAACUUUGUGACAGCUUGACAGACAAACGCCCCACUACCAUAAUGCGCCAAGCUCCAAAUUUGUCCGACUCCACCCAAAUAACAAGUACAAAAAGUUUCGACGGUGUGGUCAUAAAUAAUUAUUUUAUAUGUGGGCCCAAGGACUACAUAAUGCCCUACAUACUAUUCGUGAACUGCCCACGAAUCGCGCAUCACGAAUCGCGAAUCACGCUUAGUCUGUAACGAGCUUUAGAAUUUAUACAAUUAAAAAGGACUACUCCGUUGAGAGUCAUAUUAAUUUGUAAAUGAUAUUAGAAAACAGUAAGUACAUACACAGUUGAUUUUUAUUAAUAAUUGCAAUUUCAAAUUAAGUUAAACGACAAGGGACGGGUAUAUAAUCAAAUCCUUCAGUAACGUUAUAGAUACUUCUUCUCCUUCUUCAGCCUUAAGCAAUCUCAUUUUGAACAUAUGCAUCCCCCAAUCCAAUCCAGUGUUUUCUAUUUUGCGCUACUUGCUUCCAGUUGUGUCCUCCAAUAUUCUUAAUGUCAUCAGCCCAUCUCAUUUGUGGCCUUCCCCUUAUUCUCCUUCCUAACCAUGAUCUCCAUUGUUGUGUUCCGAUGGUAGGUUACGGAAUCAAUUAAAAAUAAGUGUAAACAAUGAACAGUAAUAUAUUUAUUUUAUGUUGGGUAAACAAGCGUGCUUCGUUUAUUAUCUCGUAAGGGUUUGUUAGCGAGGGUGUGUCUGAAUCGUUCGCCUGCUGUGCCGAUACUGCCAGACCACAACACUCUAUUAUGCCAUCAUGCUUGCAGUUUUACAAUAUGGCUAGAAAGGCAAUAAAUUACUAACAUCUGCGUUUUAAAAGAUGAGAAACUUUCUGUAUUUUAAGAAGUUGACAUAAAGAGCGUGGCAAUCUCGCCUCGGAGUCUAUUAGUGUUUCCUUGAAAAAAACAUUAAUUUUAUAAAAUCUGCUUAGCGAUAUAUUUCGUUUCUUAAACUUAACGGCCCUUGUUAGCAUAUGGUUUGUAUAUUAAAAGUAAUUUCGUUUCGAGAAAAGUUAUUAAAAAUUUAGCAAAAAUAAUAAUUAAAACGUAUCGCUAUAGUUGUAUUUCGUGAUUCCAUCUUUUAUUCUUCAGUCGGGCAUUGUGUCCUGCGAAGCUCCAUUUUAAUUUGGCAGCAUGUUCUCCUGCUUCUUUUACUUUGGUUUUGCUUCUAAUCAAUUUGUUUGUUUUUUUGUCUGUAAGUCUCACCUCGAGCAUUGAUCUUUCCAUCAGUCUUUGUGCCUUUACUAUUUUAUCCAUAUUGCCCUUGGUGAGUGUCCACCUCUGUGAACCUUACGUGAGUAUAGGGAGGAUCCGCUGAUCGUAAACUCUGGUUUUCCAAAUAUUGUUUUAUUUUAGUGUUUUUCAAGAUCUAACUCAGAUUUCCAAAUCCUGCCCACGCUAACCUUAUUCAUCUGGUAAUUUCAGCACUUUGAUAUUCUUUGUGAACUUGCAUUACCUGUCCCAAGUAGAUGUAUUCGCUUACUGUUUCUAAAUUUAUGUCAUUCAACGUUAUUUUUCUAAUGUUCUGUAUAUUCCUCAUUAUUUUGGUUUUUUCCAAGUUCAUCUUAAGCCCUACUUUUUCCCAAGCUUGAAACAGUUGCGUCAUCAUGGUCUGUAAUUCGUCAAAGCGUGUAGCGAAUAUUACAAUGUCGUCAGCAUUUCUCAAAUGACUCAGUUUUCUUCCAUUAAUAUUGAUUCCUUUAUCUGCCCAGUUAUUGUCUUUGAACAGGUCUUCCAGUCCCAGUGUGAAUAGCUUUGACAAGAUAACGUCUCCCUGGCGGACUCCUCUGUUAAUUGGUAUAGCUUUGGUUUUCUCAUCUAUUUUUAUUUUCAUUUUUCAUCCGUUAUAAAUGUGAUCGAUUAAAAAUCAAUACAAUUUUAAAAUCCAAAUAAAACAUAAUUGGUACUACAUAAUAGUAACACUGUCGUACGAAAUUAUUAUCGUGAUUGAUAAUUCUUUAGCAAAAUAAUGGGAAGAAUUUUAUAGCUGUAGUUUAAUGAUGUGGUUUUCAUUGUUAUUAACAAACCUCACUCUUCGUUGUAUUUGAGAUUUUUAAGAUUUAAGAUGUUAAUUUAAAGAUAUCGACCCGUCCCUACAAAGAAACCGGUCUUAUUUGCUGUUUACUAGAUUUUAAAGUGAGUUUCUUUCAAAAUUGUGAUGCAAACGUAGGCUGCUAUGUACUUCUAACAAAUUAUAAACUUAUUUUUAGAGCUUUUUGUAUUGUAUACAGUGAACUACUUACAUACAUUAUGAAAUGUCGUACAAUUAUUGAGUCGCCAUCUCGAUGCCAAAUUCUCACACCCACAGAAUAUUUUAAUAUUAGAUAUGUUCUUAAUUCUGUACUCAAACUCUCGAAUUAAAGUAAGACUGCUUUUAUACAAUUGUAGUUUAAAGUGCAUAAAAACUUUUUUUCAAAAUCCGCGGAAAAAUUUCGAGACCACUACUCUUUUGUUUUUCUUUAUAGAUGAAACUUAUUAAGAACUGACUUAUUACUCAUAUACCUACUGAUAUGUCUGACAAGCUCUAAGACGUGUGAGACAGUGUCUUCCAAAUUUAUUAUCAGUGUUGCUUAUUUAAAAUAAACUCCUUAAUUUAAAAAUAUUUUAAUAGCUGUUUAGUAGUCACGAUACAUAAUGUACGUACGCGUACUGUGAUAUUUUAUUCCCAUUUCUUGUUAGUUUUGAGGCACUCUACACUCCGUCAACUAUUGGAAUGUUGUUCUUGUAAUCUGUUUUAAUAACUCGUCUUCACAAUAAUUUUCAACGAUUCGUCCGUUAAUAGUGAUCAGUUUCUUUUUUCAGCAAUUGGUGUUUUUUGUUUAUACAUAAUAUCGUAAAUGUAUUAUCAACUACAGUUGAGUUCAUGAUUCUUUACCCGUGCAUAAUCAUUUCAGACAUAUGAAAUAAAUCAUAAAUCUAUUCCACGCAACAGCAAGUGACAGAAAGUGGGUACUGCUCCGAUCACGGAUUAUAUUAUAGAAUUUGACGUUAUCAAAUAAAUAGAACUUAAAAUUUUAUUGCAGAAUUACAGCUACAUUUGCUACAAACUCCAGUAUAAAAUUGGUUAUGAAAACAACUGUUUAUUUAAUAAAAAUAACUUCUAAAUGCCAAAACAGGACAAAAAGAAAAACAACAAAAAAUCCAACAAACUGACAGUGACAAGUAAACAAACCAGAAACGUCACAAAUUGUACUUAAACUCUAAAAACGUUCCCGAGCGUCUUUUUUGUAGCUAUCUCUUUUCGAUGUACUAAGUCUAUAGCGUUUAUAAAAACAACAUGUGUCUUUUACUUAAUAACAGGCGGUAUCUGGUUUGUUUUUAGUUUCAUGCGUGAAAGACAAUGAUGCUAGAUAAAAAGUAUGUGUUUUAUCCAGAUAUUAAUGACGCACGGGUAAAGAACCCUGGACUCAACUGUAUUAUUGUACUUGCAGUUCUUUGGUCUAUUUUACUUUACUGCUAUUAUAUGCACAGGAUGCCGGUAAGCUUUUAAGUGGCCUGUAUAUUGUCGCAUCUUCUAAUUUAAUCUCUCUCUUUUUCUCCUUCUCUCUCUCUCUCUAUUUGUCUUUCUGUCCUUGUUUGAAACACAGUAAGUAAAUUAAACACAGUCUAAAUUAACUUCUCUAAUUGUUUGAUACAUACCUUGACGUUAAGUGACAUAAUAUGUCUAUACGGUUAUCGAGGCGAGAAUCAAGAAAAGGAGAAACUGACCAAAAACGUGAGGAAGAUCUACGGGUGGAGGAAGAAACAUGAACAGGAAGUCGAAGAAAAUAGUCCAAAAGUGGAAGAUGAUGACAGACACUUGUCUGACGCUGAUGGCUCUUUUUCAGAUGUAAUUAUGUAGAAGUAUUAGUUUGUGUUAAAUAGAUAAUAUGCCGUCGUCAAUUCUAACAAUAAGCCUACAGAGAACGAACAUAACAGAAGACACGUACAGAAAAAAAUAGACAAAAAAAUAGAUGCAAGCAGUAAGACACAGACCAGCUAUCGACUUUAAUCGGAUAAAGCUCCAUGAGAUCCAAAACAUAGAACACUGAAGGUAUCAUUAUUUUCAAAUAGCUAGGUAUACAUAAGAAAAUGUCAUUUUAGUCAAAAGUACUUGAAGUCUUGAUUUCUGAUCAAAAAACACUUUGCAAAGUCAAUUAUGUGCCAAGACUUUACACUUUUGUUUAAAAUGGCAUUUUCAUGUGUCAUGAAAAACGGAUUUUAAACAAAAGUGCAAAGUCUUUGCACAGAAUUGACUUUACAAAGAGUUUUUUGAUCAGAAAUCAAGACUUCAACUACUUUUGACUAAAAUGACAUUUUCUUAUGUAUACCUAUUUGAAGAAAAUCAUGACACCUUCAGUGUUAUAUGUUUUGGAUCACAUGGAAGCUUUAUCCGACUAAAGUCGAUAGCUGGUCUGUGUCUUACUGCCUAAGUACAUCCAUUUUAAAAAUUUCGUUUGUUCUAUAUUUUGUAUAUUUUUUGUAUACGUGUCUUUUGUUAUGUUUGUUGUCUGUGGGUUUAUUGUUAGACUUGAUGACACCAGUUUCUGUACAUAUUAUGUAUUAAACACAAACUAAUGCUUCUACAUAAUUACAUCUGAAAAAGAGCCAUCAGUCACCAUCAUCCACUUCCGGGCUAUUUUCUUCGACAUCUCUAGCUCACCUUCUUCCACAGGUUGAUCUUCCUCAACAGGUUGAUCUUCCCCAGCAGGUUGAUCUUCUUCAGGUUUUUGGUCAGGGUUCUCGUUUUCCUGAUUUUCUCCUUGAUAACCGUAUAGAGCUAACAAUUGCUCCAGGGCCAUAUCACCUUCCAUAUUUGCUGAAAAGGCCUGCUGGCUUCCACAACUCACUAGGGAUUCUCUAUGACUGACAUAGAGAAUCUCCAUUCUCUAUAUUAGUUGUGGAAGUUAGCAAGCUUUUUCAGCAAAUAUGGAAGGUGAUAUGGCCCUGGAGCAAUUGAUAGAUCAAUACGGUUAUCAAGGAGAUAAUCAAGAAAACGAGGAUCCUGGAAAAACCUGAAUUAGAUGAACCUGCUGAGGAAAAUCAACCUUAUGAAGAAAAUCAACCUGUGGAGGAAGAACUGCAACAGGAAGUAGAAGAAAAGAGCCAGAAAGUGGAAGAUGUUGGUGACAGACACGUGUCUGAUGGUUCUUUUUUAGAUUUAAUUAUGUAGAAGUAUUACCUAGUUUGCGUUUAAUACAUAAUAUGUACAGAAACUGGUCGUCUAUUCUAACAAUAAGCCCACAGAGAACAAAACAUCUUCAAAUAUCUUUAAUAAUUUUUGGACCUUUUCGUAGCUUACGUUAUUUCGUUUUCAGUUCUUGAUUAUUCCUACGUUUCUCUUUUCCCUCCCUCUCUCUCUCUCUCUCUCUCUCUCUCUGUCUCUCUUUGUCUUUAUGUCCCUGUUUGAAACAAGUUGAGCGAAAACAGAAAGCUUUCACGAUAUGUCUAAAUUAAUUACCCUAAUUGUUUGAUACAUACCUUGACGUUAAUUGACAUAAUACGUCUAUACGGUUAUCGAGAUGAGAAUCAAGAAAACGAGGGACCUGAACAAAAACCUGAGGAAUAUCAACCUGUUGAUCUAGCGGUGAUGGAAGAACAGGAACAAGAAGUCGAAGAAAAGAGCUUGGAAGUGGAAGAUGCUUGUGACAGACGCUUGUCUGAUGGCUCUUUUUCAGAUGUAAUUAUGUAAAAGCAUUAGUUUGUGUUUAAUACAUAAUAUGUACAGAAACUGGUCGUCAAUUUUAACAAUAAGCCCACAUAGGACAAACAUAACAGAAGACACGUACAAAAAAAAAAUAAAUGAAAUAUAGAACAAAUGAAACGUUAAAAUGAAUGCAGGCAGUAAGACACAGAGCAGCUAAUGACUUUAGUCGGAUAAAGCUUCCAUGUGAUUUAAAACAUAUAACACUGAAGGUGUCAUCAUUUUGAAAUAGGUAUACAUAAAAAAAUGUAAUUUUAGUCAAGAGUUCUUGAAAUCUUGAUCUCUGAUCAAAAAACACUUUGCAAAGUCGAUUCAUGUGUCAUGAUAAUGCCAUUUUAAACAAAAGUGUCUUUGCACAGAAUUGACUUUGCAAAAUCUUUUUUGAUCAGAAAUCAAGACUGUGUACUUUUGACUAAAAUGGCAUUACCUAAUAUAUACCUAUUUGAAAAUGAUGACACUUUCAGUGUUAUAUGUUUUGGAUCACAUAGAAGCUUUAUCCGACUAACGUCGAUAGUUAAUCUAUGUCUUACUGCCUAAGUACAUCCAUUUUAAAAAUUUCAUUUGUUCUAUAUUUUGUUUAUUUUUUGUGUAGGUGUCUUCUGUUAUAUUUGUUGUCUGUGGGUUUAUUGUUAGACUUGACGACACCAGUUUCUGUACAUAUGUAUUAAACACAAACUAAUACUUCUAUAUAAUUACAUCUGAAAAAGAGCCAUCAGUCAUCAUCUUCCACUUCCGGGCUAUUUUCUUCGACAUCUGUUCCUGAUCUUCUUCCACAGGUUGAUCUUCCUCUACAGGUUGAUCUUCCCCAGCAGAUUGAUCUUCCUCAGGUUUUUGUCAAGGUCCUCGUUUUCCUGAUUCUCUCCUUGAUAUCCGUAAAGAGCUAACAAUUGCUCCAGGGACAUAUCGCCUUCCAUAUUUGCUGAAAAGGCUUGCUGGCCUCCACAACUCACUAGAGAUUCUCUAUGACUGACAUAGAGGAUCUCCAUUCUCUAUAUUAGUUGUGGAAGUUAGCAAGCUUUUUCAGCAAAUAUGGAAGGUGAUAUGGCCCUGAAGCAAUUGUUAGAUCAAUACGGUUAUCAAGGUGAAAAUCAAGAAAACGAGAACCCUGAGCAAAAACCUGAGGAAGAUCAACCUGCUGAGGAAGAUCAACCUGUUAAGGAAGAUCAACCAGUGGAGGAAGAUCAGGAACAGGAAGUCGAAGAAAAUAACCCAAAAGUGGAAAAUGGUGACAGAUACUUUUCUGAUGGCUCUUUUUCAGAUGUAAUUAUGUAAAUGUAUUAGUUUGUGUUUAACAGAUAAUAUGUACAGAAACUGGUCGUAUAUUCUAACAAUAAGCCCACAGAGAACAAAACAUAACAUCUUCAAAUAUCUUUAAUAAUUUUGGACCUUUUCCUACCUUAUCUGAUUUCGUUUUCAGCUCUUGAUUAUUCCGACGUUUCUUACGUUCAGAAUGGGAGACGAAAUAAAAAAAAGUGAAACGACAUGGAACUUUGUAACAGAACUUGUUAGCUGAGUAGGGCGUAUUAUUGCCUGAGCGGAUGAGCAAGACAAGAUUAUAAAGAUUGCCGGCUUACUGCAUUAGCAUCAUCUAUCAGAAAAUUUUCCAAGUUUUUCGAGUUGCGUUCACAGCAAUACCAAUAAUCCUAGUAGCGUAUCCACAUGUCGCGUUUCUAAGUGUUAAACAAAUUCUUACUAUAUUGAUCUACAUUUGUCCAUUGCUGGACGUAGGCCUCCCUUCAAAUUUUCCACUUAUUUCUAUCUUGAGCUUCUUGUCAUCACCUAAUCGGCGGUGGUCUUCUGCUUCGAUAUGUCUCUUGUCUUCGUCGCCACUCCAUAAUCUUUCUGGUUCAUUUAUCAUCCGUUAUCAUUCUUUCAAGUGCAUCCGUCACUCCUGUUCGUUUUCUUAUUUCUGGGUUUGGUACUUUAUCUCCGAUAGUAAUAACUAACAUUGAUCUUUCCAUAGCGUGCUGUUUAAUUCGUAUUUUAUUUAUUCUUCCUUUUGUUAAAGUUAGUGUUUCUGCAGUAUAUGGAAGAACCGUUAAAACACAUUGGAUAAAAACCUUUCUUUUUAAGCAAACUGGAAUAUUAGACUAAACAAUGUUGUUCAAUCUACCAAAGGCAGCUCAUGUGAGACAUAUCGUUCUUUUUAUUUCAGUUCUGAUUAUCUCGGCAUAAGAGAAUCUCAUAAUCGGGAUUUGUGAACUAUUAUUUGGCCAAUUAUAUGUCAACAAAAUUAGACAACAAGAUAUAUGAUUUAAACAUGGACUAUGGCAUCUCUUUGACUCGGGUGUCUCACGACAAAUCAUGCUGUUUUCAGUUUUCGUAUGCUUUCAGAGUUCUGUUACUGGAAAGACCCCCAUUCACGUUGAGGUCGUUAUCUAUACAUGUAGCAAGUAUCAGUAUCGCGAUACAAAUCUCAUAGUGUAUUUGGCUAUCUUAGUAUUGCUGUAUCAGUCUACAACUCUAUCGCCAUCUGUAUCACUGGAGUGAAACAGAUACAAAUCUCAUGAUGCGUGUAUCGCAACUUGUUGCGAUACACGUAUCGAUACCGAUCUUAACAUGAAUGAAGGCCUUUACUUUUACUCCCUCCAAAGAAGAUCACUGGCCUCAACAGGAUCUGUUUUAUCGGAAGUAAGUUCAAAAACAGUACGUGCGUAUAUUGAACAUAAGAUACCUCUUUUUACACCACAUACGUGUUGAUGAAAUGCGGACAAAGUUUUAAACGGUUUUUCUGAUUUUAAUCUCUUAUAGAUGGUUUAAGAAGUAGGAAAAAACUUAAUAAUUUAUUUAUGCAAACAGUAUCUUUGAGCCCCUAUUCAUACGUAAUAGGUAUGUGGGAUUAUUUAUUACGAUAUUUUAAGUGUAAUAUUAACAAAAAGUUUUUAUGCAACUAAACAUUUAUCACUUUUAUCCUAGUCAGCCUAGUGACAUUUUUAAUCCUUGAUAAUAAUAUAUUUCGGUCAAUUCACAUAAAUAUAUUAUUUUAACAACUCUUUCUCUGUGAUAAUCACUGCUAUUAUUUAUUAGUCCGUUAUUGAAUUUACUUUUGUGCUCUUUUCUUGUGGGUGAUUAAUUUAAAUUAGAUUAAGAACUAAAAUUUUUAAUUAAAUACAUAGGGCAGAUCUUAACAAUUGAUCAUUCUAAAUGUAAGGUUAAAUUGAAUUAAAUCAAUGUAACAUUAAGUUGGUAGCAAACAACAUCAGCUUUGUUUGCCAGUUAUACUACAACAUUUUACUGACAAUGCAGGACAAAAUUUGCAUGCCAAAAUUCCUCUAACCGGGAUUUAAUCGGGACAGAAAGUACCGGCCUUUAGUAUAUUAAUACUACAAAAGUGGUUAUAAGUUCAUAUUUUCCGUUUUUACUCUUCGAAAUCCACACUCAUAAUCUCCUAACAUGGGGAUCCAUUCGUAUUCGUAGUUGAUCUUGUUAGUACCUUGUAAUAACCUUUAUAAUUAAAUAAUUCCAAUUUAGAACAUCGUUUAUUAUCUAAAUUGGAGAGACCAAGGCGCCAUUUCAGUCACUGACCGUUGACUCUUUAGUAUCUAUAUGUCUUUCCGUUCCAUAUUUUAGUUUUUAUGAAUGUUAAUCAUAUCUUGACCAGAGGCUGUACUGUUUUCAUUAUUUUUAUUGUUUCCUAUAGGUUAACUGCUAAUUCGUCAUAUCUUUUUGGUGCUAUCGUCUGGGCAUAUCGUUGGCAUAUUUAAGUUUUCUUCAAAUUCCUAUCUUAGAUAAAUUGUUGAAAUAUUAUUUACACUACCAAUCUGAUUAUCCAGUUUCCAUCCGGAUAGUUUAAAGUAUUUACUAUUAUAUCUUUGCUGAUUAUUUGGGCUUCCUUACAUCUAUAAAAAUAUUUUAGAUACUUAUAUAUACUGCAAAACGUUCGUUUACUAUUAUUACGAACUUAUAAUAAUUUUCACGUUUUCUACUGCUGCUUUAAAUAAUUAGUUGGGUAUAAAAUCCGAUCAGAUAUUGAGUAUUGCUGCUAUGUAUGAAUAAGCAGAUAUAAGAAACAUGUAUCUAUAUUUUUGACCUCAACUUAUAUCUAACGGGCGAAUGCUUAUUUUUUAUUCCAUCUAUUAACUUUGUAGCUAUUCUGUCUUAUAAAGUCCUAUUGAUGAUUUGUCCAAUAUAUAUGUGAUAUAUGAUAUAUUCCAGGAAAGCAAGGAAAAUGUUCUCCAUUUGAAAUUUGAACACGAACGGUUAAAGAAAGACAAUGAAGACAAUUAUUUCAAACAGAAAUCGGCCGUUUCAACAUAUUUGUAUUCAUAGACAUAUUCUAGUGUCAAAUUCACCAAACACGAAUUCAAAAGAUUCACAAACAUAUUUUAUUUCAGAAACUAGUUAUAAAAAUAUAAUUCUGACUGAAUAUUUAGCAGUUUGUAUUGGUAUAUUCAAACUUUUAGACAUCUUGGAUUUUAGUUACCCUAUGUAACGCACAGCUGAAUCUUAUGUUUGUGCGUCACAGUGUUGCCAUGCCAUUUCUUUCAUAAUUUAAAUCAAUGUUAAAUGUACCUACAAGAAUAAUAGAAUAAGAACGUUUACUUCUCCGUCAUUCUACCUAAUGAGGUGUCAAAUGAAAGCUUAUAAUCCAAGGAUAGUACUAAAGGUGAGAAAUUAGACCUAGAUUGUCUGCCCCUCAAAAAAUAAGCGUUAUAUUGGGGAUUUCUAAUGUCGACAUUAAAAGUUGCACUAUUUUUUUCUAUAAAACAUUUUAAUCUAAAACUUACCAGAAAACUUCUUUGUACUCUACUUUCAAACAAACGUGAUUAAGAAGCUAAAUUUUAAACUUCGUUACACAACUUUUGUGAUUAAACUUUGUAAUGCACAAAUCCGCACCUUUUUCUUUGAAAAAUUCAUAACCUUUAUCAUGAUAAAAAUAAAAACUUAAAGCAGGUACCUUUGUCUUCAGAAUUGUUAGAGCUAUAUACUGUAAAAAUUUCAGAAAAAAAUAUUAAAAUGGAACAGAGUUGUAGCGAGGUAAACGCAAAAAACGUGAUUUCAUUUUUUUUUAUUUUUAGGUUAAAAUUGCGAUUUUGACAAUGUUCCCCCACAUAAAAUUCAAAAUAAACCUCAUUUUCGUUUUCAGCACCCUCGAAAAUAUAAAGUAUGAAUAAAAUUAGCCAUUCAUCCCUCCGUGGUCAGUAUCUCGAAAACUAAGCGCUUUUUUGAGGGUGUAUAAUAUCACAAAAAAUUGUAACGUGAUAGUAUGAAAAAAUAGAGGAUACGGCAACGGUGUUACAAGUGAUGGUCGGAUCCGUCGGAUUCAAUGCCAAAAUCUACAGACAUAUUAGGGUGCACAAAUAGCCAAGAUGUCCAAACUUUUUAUCUACGUUUUAUCUCAGCCAUCAAAUAUACUGAUUCAUGUAGGUACCUUUUUCGAAAUGAGUGUGAGACAUUUGGCAGUUUUCCUAUACAUAUACAUAAUAGACAGAUAACCUUUAAAAUCCACACAGCAAGCUCAAUCACAGAAACAUCAUGAACCUUACAAAUAAGCAUGUCCAAAAAAAAAUGAAUCCCAAAAACAUUAACUAUUUUAAUUUGAUACUGAAUUCGAUACACAGUAUUAAAAACGACAAAGGAAAGCAAUAAAUACUCGAACUAUUUUACUAGUGACUAGUAUACCAACUAGUUUGACUCUGUCUUACUAUAAGAACACACUACUGACAAUUAAAUGUUUUUAGUAAUGUCGGAUUUCAUAGUUUCGUUCCUAGAUUGACAUCACUAAACGAGUGAGUAAGGCUCACGAAAUUUUGUAAGACCAAUAUAUAAAUCUUCGAUAGAAAUGGAAUGUAUCGAAUAUGUGGCUUCUCCGUCUGAAGAACACAAGCAAUGGCUGUUCAUGACGUUCAUAUUGAGUAUCAGCAUAUAUGGUGUAGGUGUUCCGGACGAAAAAACCAGGAAGCUUUAUAGAGCAGGAAACGGAAAUUAUUCUUACUUUGGACACGUAAGGUUAGCUCAACAUGUUGCAAGUUAAUCGGACGAAAGUCAGGGAUGAAUGAUUUAUAUUACCAAAACUAUGGGGUCGGUUUUAGAUUCUUUCUAGAUAGAAAGUAGUUCUAUCUCGGUCAUAUUACGACUACAACCUGGAGCGUGUACUAUAGCUAACUGCCAAUCCAUAGGUCUCUUCGAAGUCUUCUAACAAUUUUUCUGUGGGAACUUAUAAUACUACUAGUGUUAAAGUCCAAUCAUUAUUUGUCUGGGGACAGUCGAUGCGCUCUGUUAUAUCUAAAGUCUUAGCUGUUUCUAGAAUGACUGGUGUACAUGCUGAUUGGAAUUACAUACAUACAGGGUGUCCCGGAAAAUAGUGCGUUCCUUUAAGGUAUGGAGAGAAUACACAAUUUGGAACAAAAAAGUCCUAUACCAUUUUUUUCUAAAGUUAAGCGUUUCCAAAAAAAAGUUAACAUUGUUUUCCAUAUACCUGUAUUUUAAUGUUUGGAAAUUUUAAUAAACUGGCAACAUCGUACGCACUACGGCAUAAUAACAUAAUAAGAACUCGUUUGUGAUUGUGAUUAACAGUAUUUAAAAUAAUCCAACCUAAUAGUAGGUAAUACUACUUAUGUAUUUACUAUUUGUUUAUUAAAAUUAUUUUCUUUUGAAAUGUAUUGAAAUACCUAUUGCAUAAUUUUAAACGAAUUACACAUCUUUUAACAUAAAAACACAUCUUUUAACUAAACUAGUAUUAUGUAUUUAGUAAGGUUUAAAUGGGUUGAAUGCUGAGUAUUGCUGAGGGCUUUAACUGAAUUACAUAGUUUUAAUAGUUUACAGUGGAACUUAAAUACACCAGAUAAUGUCUCAGUAAUUUGUUUACUUGUGAACUGAAAUAACUAAGUUGUACUUACUUGAAAAUAAUUAAUAUAAAUAUACCGAAUAGAUGUUUCAAGUAACCUUUCACAAACACCAUUCAUAGGUAAUAACAUAAUAGGUAAUACACUCACUAUUCGAAAACAUUUUCGGCAUUGACACUAAACGGGAUUCUUUAAAACUAUCUGUUUACUAUCAUCUUCUAUCUAUUUACAUGGGACUGUCUAUGCUUAAAUUUGCGUACCGCACAUAGUUGUCAGAUUUAAAUUUGGAUACCAAAAUACAUUUUAAUUUUUUGGUCAAACGGUUGCAUUUAGAAAAAAAUGUUAUAAGAGUUUUUUGUUCUACAUGGUGCCUUCUACCUAUACCUUUAAGGAACGCACUAUUUUCCGGGACACCCUGUAUUAUGAAAAUAUAAACUGUUUGGGUUUCCGAUCUAAUAUUUAUAGUUUCUACUUUUCCGUGGAAUUAUUUUCACAAGUGAUUGUAAAACUAGAUGCAAUGGUCAACUUUUGUUUAUAUUUAAAAUGAUCAAUAAUAGGUCUGCCAACAAAAUAGUUUGACAACUGUACAGCUUCUUAUAUAUAGAUAAGUUGUUUGUCGAAAAAUAUGCAGUUGUAGAAGAGAUCUUUGUAACGGUAUUUCGAGAAUAUUUUGAACUGAACUGAUAAUUUCACCAAAUCGGUAACCGCAGUUUAUUAAAUGUACGUUAUUAUGUUUCAAUAAUUAAGUACAUUUAUACAGGGUGUAAUAUAAAGACAGGUCAUAAAUUAAACCACAUAUUCUGGGACCAAAAAUAGUUCGAUUGAACCUAACUUACCUUACAAAAAUGUGCACAUAAAAAGUCUACAGCCCUUUGAAUUUACAAAAUGAAAAUCUAUUUUUCCAAUAUAUUAAAAACUAUUAGAUAUUAGAAUAUCUUAAAAAACAGUGAAAUUUGUGCAUCCCAUAAAAAUUUUAUGGGGAUUUUGUUACGUUAAACCUCCCAAAGUAUUUAUGUACUUUACAAUUAAAUUAUUAUUGUAGUACCAUGAGUUUAAACACUUAAAACUUUUUUUGCAUUUUCAAUAAAAAAUCUCUAAUAGUUUUCGAUAUGUUGCAAAAAAUCGGUUUUCAUUUUGUAACUUCAAAGGGCUGUAAUUUUUUUAUAUGUAUUACAGUUGUAGUAAGGUAAGUUAGGUUCAAUCGAACCAUUUUUGGUCCCAGAAUAUGUGAUUUAAUUUAUAACCUACCUUUUUGUUACACCCUAUAUAUUUAGUUGUAUAAACACUUUAAAACAGUGACAAAAUCAAAUUAAUGUUAGAAGGUUACCACUCGAUUGACAUUUGUGAAAUUAUCAAUAUGCUUCUUAGUUUGUAAGAAAUUUUUAUUAGGGAUUAUGCUACAGGGUGAUUUAGAUAUUUGAAAAUGUAAAUAAUAAAGAAAAAAAUCAUGUAUAUAACAGUAGACAAGUGAAUAUUUCUUUAGUUGAAACAAACUGUGGAACAAAAAUUUUAAAAGCAAUUUAAUAUAAUUAAUUAAAGGUUUAGACAUUAUUUUUUAUAUUUAUUUGUGUUUCUAUUGGUCUAAGUAACCAAGACAUAAGUGCUAACAGAACUUCAAAUAGGCAUUUUUAAAGCUUUAUACCUAGAAUAUAUUCAACUACAAUUGAAAGGUAUUCAAAGUUGUUGUAAUUUUUAAAAUGUGUUGAAUUUUCGACCUAUACCGGGUUGUGAAUCGUAAAACGGGCCAUAGGAGACUCAAUGUAAAAUUCUAAACUGUUGAAUUCCUGCUUCCCUAAUUAUUUUACAUCAAAAGUCAUGAGAGAAUAUUUGUAGAGAAUUGAAAUCUGUAUUAAAAUCAAAAGUUAAAAUUGUUCUACGAUUUAAACGCAUUCCAAAAUUUUGAGUACACAGUAGGUAUGUGUGUAAAAGUUAGGUCACACGUUACUAUUUAACUGACAGUGCUCACACCAUUGACUGAAUAAAAAAUCUUUAUUACAUUAAUACUUUCUCCGCAACUGAGGGUAUCUUAUCAACUGUAUUGUUUUUAAACAAUAAAUGAUAAAAUAAAAAUAUUGACAGUUCAAAAAUGUGAAAAUAAUAACUUCAUUGUGACACAUUAUUGCACUGUGUGUGGCCUAAUUUUGAGCUGAAAAACUGAAAAAUGUAUUACAUUUUUACAAAAUUCUGGAAUAUGUUUAAUUCGUAGAACAAUUUUAACAGUUGUUUUCAAUACAGAUUGCAAUCCUCUACAAAUAGUUUCCAAUGUCUUUUGAUGUAAAAUAAUUAGGGAAGCAGGAAUUCAACAGUUUAGAAUUUUACAUUGAGUUUCCUAUGACCCGUUUUCCAAAUCACCACCCGGUAUAUCAUCUUGUUCAAAAGCUGCUAUAAGUCUACAUUUUGUAUAGAAUUAAUUUCUGGCAUUAUAAUAUAGGAUAAUACUUGAAUGAAUAAAAACUUUCUGCAAGCUACUGUAAAAAGCAAAUUGUAUUUGCCUUAUGUCUUUGUCUACACUGGUGCGCUUUCGUCUUCCUCUUUCAAUUCAAAAAGCCUUUUCAACUUGCACUUCAACUGCCAACAUUGCAUGCCAUGAUGAGCAAGAUAAGAUGCGUGUAAAGUGCUGUACCCAUUGGUUGCGCUAUUUUGACAGUUGAUAAAAGUAUUUGUUUGGGAAGUACGGGACAUAAUUACAAUAUUGCUUUCGAUAAAACUGAUAAGGCGCAGGAAACAACAUGAAUUGAAAGAGAGGUUGAACGAAAAAUCCAACAGGUUUGCAUCUUCAUGCGUCAGACCGUGCGCUAUAAAAUUUCCACCUUAAACUCCAAACAAGGCAUGCUGUAGCGCAUACCUUUUGUUCAUUACACCGUGCGCUGUGACGCAUGCGUUUGUUGAACACAAAGUUGCACUAGUGUAGACAGAGCUUUAACAUUUGUUAGCACUUUGUCUUGUUGCCAAUAAAAAUAUUAAUGUAAUAAUAAUUAUUAACUUCAGUUACGGCAAUAUAAGUUAUACAUAUCAAGCUUAUAAGAAGUAUGUCCAACAUAUCAGGUACGUAAGGACAUAGAGUGAUGGAAAAAGGGUAUUUAAUCUAUAUAUGAUUUAUGUCAUUGGAAUUUAAGGGUAAAAUUUACAAAAAGUUGUUAUGCGAAGUGUACUUGCUUAUUAAAGUGUUAAUGGAAAUGGAAAGGCAUUCGGCACAGAUCAUGUUUAACUGUUCACUGCAGUACUUAUUAAUAAGUAGGUACUUAAAUCAAUAUCUUAUUUAGUUUUUAAUUUAAUGGAUGUACAUUGGAUGUCAAUGAGUUAAAUAUUAUGGCGUUUAUCUUCAAUGCGUGUAGAAUGAUUAAAUAACUGAACUACAUAUCAAAAAGUAGAACAAUUCAGUUUUCUCUUGAAAUAAAAAUUAUCUAUGCCACAACUGUGUAGUCUUCUGUGACAUGAUUGAUACUUUUUGUCGUUAUAUUUAAAUAUCAUAUUGUAAAUAAUUUUUAGAUAUUUCAAUAUUGAGGAUCACCCUGAAGUUUAAUAUUUUUUAUUAACAAGUAGGCAGUUACUAACUGGAGAAUAACAUAGACUUAGAAAAUAAAUAAGGCUGUUUAUUAUUUGCAACUAACUGGUCAGUUACACGAAGGAAAUUCUACAUUCGGAUUGGAAAGUUUUAUAAAGCCAUAGCACGCCAUAGUAACAAACAAUGACAUAUGGCUAAAGGUUCUUCUCAACCAAGGCCAAAAAAUAAAACAAAACAAAAAUAAAAAUGACAAAUGUUUAGCUUGGAAGCUUUUUUAACCUUUCAAGGCAUGGCUAUGAAAUCUUGGAUUAUUUAUUCUUAAGUCGUUUCUAGUGAGUUUGUGAUAAAACAUGAACCCUCAGGCAUCCGUAAAAGGUCUGCGGUUUUGAAUUAGAUUUUGUGAGUAGAUCGAGUCGGACGAUGGAUGAGUAGUAGGAACGCUAAGGGCCAAUUUCUCAUAUCGAGUUCAACUCAAAGAUAUGUCAACAAUAGAUCUGGCUAGGGAUAUGCCACUCAAUGCAUCGGGGUGUAACGCCAAUAUCAAGUACAGUGGUCUAGCUAUCUUUGUCUGUCGUGCGAGUGUGAGCGUAUCUACCAAGAGGUGGGAGUAAUGGAACGAAAGUGACACAGAGGCGGCAGCCAUCAUAUGCUAGAGAGAGAAAGCUAAGCGCCGGUAGAGAGAGAUAGAUAGACCACCGACCCGAACUGCCCCGCGUUACGCUAUUUUUCGGACCUGGCCUAAUCUAUUGUGUUAUUAUAUCUAUGGUUCAACUCCAGUUUAACCAAUGAACGUCAGUUUAAAGUCAAAAUCGUCGUUCUUAAUCCACGUUUAACCGAGGGCAGUUUAAACUUGAACGAUGCUUGAACGCUGGAAUUCGGCCGUUCAAAGAUUUCUGAACCCAGUUCAGAUGAUUUCAUGGAUUACGCAUGCGUCGUAUUAACACGAAACGCUGUCAUAAUAUAAAUAUAACAUAUUUUAUUAUAUUAAGCCUAACGAUAAAAGAUAACAUUAUUUUUGUUUUUAUAACAUUUAUUUAUAAUUAUGAAAAUGACCAUUUGACAAUAAAUACUUAAAUUUAACUUUAUUAAAAAACAGCAUAAAAAGGUAGUUCAAAAUGGCGACAGUCUUUUCCUUUUGCCAUCUAUUGGCAUUUCUCGAAAGCUGUAGAACGUGCACUGACAUAAACGUGCAAUGAGAAAUGCAUUCCAAACAAAACCGAAGUUCACCGGUGAACCUGGUUCAACUGAACCAUAGAUUACCGCAGGUAUGAGAAAUCGACCCUAAGAGGUAGUCUUGCAGUCCUCAUUCAUUGAUUCCUACCAAAAGAUGCUAAUACUCUAUAUUCUAGAAAAUCAGAAUGUAUAUAGCUGACGCUAUUUAUAUAAACUUAUUAGAUAAAGAAAGGAUCAAUUUUAAAGAACUUUCAUCGUACCAGAUGCAAUUGAAGCGUUUAUUUGAAUAACAACACAUUAUGCAUUAUUCUCAUAGAAUAGUAGUUUCUUUCUCGAUCUCACACAUUCAAUUUUGUAAAAAUCGCAAUUGUCUGGAGUAAACUACAUAUAAAGUUCGAAUAGUUUAAGAAAAACAACAGAUACCCAUGCAGAUUGUUGUAAAAGUAACACUUGUCCCAUCUUAUUCAACGGUCAUCGCUAAGCGUAAAUGAUCUUAUCCGUAAAUUUAUCAGUUGUCUGCGUUCUUUAUUAGUAAUAUGUGAUGUUUGUUUCUUUUGCAUUAGAAAUACUUCAGCAUUGCGGAAACUGUUCAACACAAUACCUCUAUAUUUUCCAUUAUAUUUUGCUACGUUUGUACCUAUUUUUGGUUAAAAUAUCAACAAAAAUAUGAAACCACUUUGCACAAUUAUUUUGAUAUCCACAUUACUUCUAAUGAAUAUCUUAUUAAAAGUGAGAUUUGAAAUAAAUUGAAGCUGGGUAGUUUUUCUUGAUUUGCCAAAAUUUCAAUUUUUGGACAAGUGUUGUUUUCGAAAUAAAUGCUUCAAUUGAACUGUGAAGAAUGUACUUAAUAAAUGGGUACUUACACAUAGGUACAUAUAUUUAUAAUCUAAACUCGAUCAACCUUAGGGUUGGAACAAAAAAUCAGAAAACAGUAACUCUGUGGUUUGUUUUGGAAUGUCCUGACGGACAAAUGUUUUAUUGUAUGAAAUUCUGAAAUUGGGGGCUUCUUUUUUCCUUGAGAUGCUGUGAAUAGCCUAAAUUUUUACCUCCAAUUAGAAGAUAUUAAGUAGAAAAGCGAGGAACAUUAUGUUAACGGACAAAAACGAUUGUGUCAUAAACGCUUAGGGCACCUACAUUAUGUAAUUUAGAAGUCAGAAACGGCAAAGUUAUAUAUAGUUUAUUGUAAAUCUACAACUUUUCAGUAUCGAACUGCAAAAACACGUAUUGUGUCUGCUAAUAAUAUUAUUACGUUGUAAUGCUUCCAAUGAAGCAUUCCUGAGAAAAUUUGACUUUUGCUAAUGAUUUAAUUAAUAAGCGGGAAAAAAGAACAUUUUGGUGGCAGAUACGCUUAGUGCUUUUAUAUCUGUGUCUGUCAACAUUUUUCUCAAGUCAAAGGCGUACAUGAUGCCCAUACAAGCUACCCAUUCCAAAAAAGAAUAACAGAAAGAAGCAUAAACAUAUAUGUCACGAAAAAUGAUGGAGAUGAACAAAGCUCGGCAAAAAUUAAGCCUCAUAUCUUAGCCUCAGCCAAGGAAGUUCUUGGAGAAAGAAAUAUAGAUAAAAAUAAAUCGUUCCCAAGGCGAUAAACUCCAUGGUUUUGUACAGAAGUAAAAGAAAAAUGUAAAGAAAAGAAGAAAGCUUAUCUGAAAUACAUGACAACCAAGAUACAAGAGGCAUACGAUAAUUACAAGACAAUACAUGCACUUGUAAAAAGAAUGAAACAUGAUCACUGAGAACGUGUUUGAUAAAAAAAAAUGGAACAUGAUUUUUAUGGUCAACAAAAGGAAAUAUGGCUUUUUAUAAGUUAAAGAACGGAGGUACCUAAAGGAACUAAUAGAACCAAAACACAUAUGAACACAGAGAAACAUACAUGGAUUGACUAUCUAGAAAUACUCGUAAAAUGCAGUGGAAUAACAUACGACCCUACAACCAGAAACACCAGAACUGACAACAAAUGAAGAUGUUAAUAUAAAUGCACAGGAAGUUACUCGAAAAGCUGAAGAACAGAGAAGCUGCAGGUAAAGACGGAAUACCAAACGAAUUACUGUAAUAUUGUAGGAACAAUGUCAUUGAGGAACAAUGACAGAACAGUUAACAGCAUUACAUAAUUAUUAAACACAAUAAACUACUAGAAAAAUGGAGAACAAGCGAAAUAAUAUUUAAAAAACUGCUAUUUAAAAAAGGAAAUAAAAAACAGCCAGAAAUUUACACAGGUAUAAACUGCUAAAUACUACCCUAAAACUAAAAUUUUACGAGAACUAAUGAAUCAGAGGGUUGCAGAUGAACAAUAGGGUUUUCGUACCCUAUUGUUCAUCUUAAUUGAAGAAUCGUCUACAAAUGUAAUAUUUGUUAUAAAGCAAAUUACUGAGAAAUUACUACAGUAUAUUAGACCAGCAUGUCUGUGUCUGAUUAACUGUUUGCAACCCGACAUUCUUAGAUAAUUCUCAAGUAGUAGUAAUUUUCUAAAACAUCGAAAAAUUUAAUUAAAAUUUUUAUUCAGACAUCUCGAUACUAUUUACAAUCUGAUCUUACAUUAAAAAUUCUACAUCAAAUAAUCUCGACGCUUCGAUAAUAUCUUAAUAUCGACUUUGUCGAAUCAAAUCUUCAUGUAACUGACACGUAACUCAUCAUGAUCAUGAAGAAUGUACUUACGAGCACAAUAUUUAUCCAUUUUUUCUAAUAUUUUUUUUUAUAUAAUUUUCAACAUGAUCAUGAAAUUAAUAACUAUAUGGCACACAUUGUAUAGAUCACUUAUUUUUAAUGUGACCAAAAUGAAAUAGGAUGUAACAAAGAAAAACUUUUUAUUAGUAAGUUUAGUGGAAUUGUAUAAUAUAAGUAAUAUCAGCUUAGAACAGAUUGAGAUAUUUAUAUUAAAGGAGUUUCCUUCAUUGAUACGUUGUGAUUUCUAAAAGUGUGUAGAGCUCUUGUCCAAAGUUUUUAUGUUUCUUUGUUAUUUAUACUUUUGGCCCCUUUUGGUAUAGAACUUUAUUUCAACUAUCUAGGUACUGAUAUUUUCCGAAUUUAUUUAGUUAUUAUUUAAAAACAGACAAUUUUUUAUUUUAUAGUAACAUGUUGAUGACAUAUUAUUUGUUCGUUAGGCCAAAAUAUUAUAAAUAUUAGAUUACAUGUACCUACCUAAACAAAACAAAAAUGGCAAACUUUACAAGAUCUUCGUAUCGCCUCUUAAUCUGUUGGAUUAGAAUAGGGCUUUUCAUCGAUUGUCAUUUGUUUCGAGCUUCUGUCAUAUGUUGUAUAAUCUGUGUAUAAUAUUAAUAUACACGGAUUAUACAACAUAUGACAGACGCUCGAAAUAAAUGACUGUGAAUGAAAAGCCCUAUAUUACCAUUUCAUCUUUUUUGAUCACUGACCAGUACUUCUUGUUCAGAUUGGUCUAUUUGGACUGUUUUUAACAUUUUUUUUGCUUUUAUAUAUUAUUUGUCCACUCCAAGUCCCGUUCAUUCUCUUCUCCGCUAUCAGAACUUCUUAACAUAGGUACUAUCUUUAUUUCCUCGUUUCAGAAUUGUUACCCUUGUUAAUAUGGUUCUGAAACGUUUGUCUUAGAGCAUUUGUAUGUUUCAUCAUAUUUAAUUAGAAUAAACCACAAUUUUUAUUGAAAAAACGUUAUAUUUGACGUUCCAAAUUCAAAGAUAGCAAGUCCCUGUGUGAUAGCAGUCAUAAUCUAGAGAAGAUAAAAUUAUUAAAUAUCACUAUAUCACGAGUUUCAGUCCACCAUAAUCCAGGCUGACUAUCAUUUAUCAAAUAAUAAUUUCACUGUACUUGUAUUUUGUUUAUGCCUAGUUACACCAACAGAACUUAAAGCACGACUUAAGCUUAAGAUCUGUUCGUGCAACCAGACAUUAGUGUUUCAUUAAGGGAAAUAUUGGUAAUUUUCAUUGGUUUUGUGGGUAUUUCUCACUCGUACAAGCUAUCCUGCCAGUGAAAUAAUAUAUUUUCCUGAUAUAGUUAAUCAAAAAUACAUAAUUUUGCUGAUAAGUUUUCAAAUAUUUUGUAGAUUGUAUUCAGUAGAGCUAUUCCUCUACACUUGUAGCACAUACUUUUGUCACUUUUUUGGUGAAGUGGACUUAACCACGUCAAGUUUCUACUCGUUUAAUAAUUUAGUUCUUUAUAUGUCUUCUCAAGUUGUCAGGCAAUUCUAGCUCUCCAUCCUUUCAAUACUCUGCCCUAAUGCCAUUUUAUCCUAUUAUUUCGUUGUCUUUAGCUUUUGUAUGUAGUUCAGUUGAAGGUAGUAAUAUAUAUUCUUUGGACUUUGCACAUUAUUCCUUUUAAUCUGUUGAUAAAAUUUCGAUUGUCCUUAUUAAUCGUCUUCCAUGAUCUCUAGUUUUCUUUUCCAGUGUUUUUUCUUUUUCCUCCAGAUCUGUUUCACUUUUUAAAAAUCUGUUUUAAUUGUCGAAACAGACAGACAUACCUAAUUAGAAAAAUAAAAAAAUACAAAUUAAUAGAAUGAAGUAAAAAUGAAACGAAAUCAACACUGAAGGCUAAAUUAGUGAGAAGAUGUUUUAAGUGCGAUUCUACACACUUUUAAAAUAGCUUGAUUAUUUUAGUUGGAAACAGAUAAUGUUAUAUCUUAAUGUACCUACAAUACAUACAUGUAUUUUUGAUGGCUUAUUUUCUCGUAGAUCAUUACCUACCAGUACUUACUAGAUAUUCCAUAGAACAGUUUACAAAUAAAUCGUAAGACAAUAAAGAGUUUGUCGUUUGUUACAAAUUUUUAAGGUUAAUUAAAAUUUUAUAAUUUAUGUAAUUAGUUACCAAUAACCUUUUUAUAAAAUAUUUUGGUAUAUUUACAAUAAAACUUUUUUAUGUAUUUAAAUUUGUAUACAUAUUAAUUAACACAGUCAUGUUUGUUUAAUGUUAAUUAUAAGUUAGAUGGUUGAAUGUAUCAUAUCAGAAUUUCAUAUUUGUCUCCCAUAUCAUACACAUACAUUUUGUAUUAACCGUGAUUAUUGUAUUAUUCAAUACAUAACAAAUAAAAA